rnacentral:rRNA from 1 species
UACCAGCUCUCCGAGUGGUAGGGAUGAUUAUUGGGCUUAAAGCGUCCGUAGCCGGCUUAGCAAGUCUCCUGUUAAAUUCAGCGACCUAAUCGUUGAGCCGCGGGAGAUACUACUAUGCUAGGAGGCGGGAGAGGUCGACGGUACUUUCGGGGUAGGGGUGAAAUCCUAUAAUCCCGGGAGGACCACCAGUGGCGAAGGCUGUCGACUAGAACGCGCUCGACGGUGAGGGACGAAAGCUGGGGGAGCGAACCGGAUUAGAUACCCGGGUAGUCCCAGCUGUAAACUAUGCGGGCUAGGUGUUGGGGUGGCUACGGGCCACUUCAGUGCCGCAGGAAAGCCAUUAAGCCCGCCGCCUGGGGAGUACGGCCGCAAGGCUGUAAACUUAAAGGAAUUGGCGGGGGAGCACCACAAGGCGUGAAGCUUGCGGUUC